AGACUGAAACUCCUCUGGCUUUCUCAUGCACACCCCGGCUAUGCUCUGUGUGGUCACGCCCUGGUCAUUGGGCAUCCUUUCGCCCCCUCGGAGGGAUGUCUAACCCGUCAGUCCCUUUUCUGUUAUUUAACCACUUAAUUAUCUGUGAUGUUUCCAAAGGCUGAGAAACCCCCUCAGCUGGGCCGGUCCAGCAGCCGCCCUGCCAGCUGCAGUGCACGCCAACCUCCCCAGGGCCCCUGCCCCUGAGUCUGUGCACAGGUGUGAGCGUCGCACCUUCCGGAGGAGCUUCUGAGGAUAAAAUCAGAUACUCUCCGGAAGAUUUCACACCGUGUAUGGAUCGGGCACGUGCCAGAAACACUUCUGCAAGCCCUGGAUGGGCGGGGCCUGUGUCGACACCACGGUGAUGCCUGCACAUGUCCUGGCCCCAGCUCCCGACAGCGACUUCGCUUGAAGCUCAUGCUUGGCGUGUGGCCUCUGGGGACGUGAGAUGGGUGUUAUUUCCUAACGUCCACGCAUGAAUUCAGUUGUGAAUUUACAUGCCACACGGGCUCUUAGCUGCUGCUUAGAUCAUUUAUCGCCACUUCGCCCCCCUCUUUCCACGAGGAAGCCAGGAAGCAGGAUGUUGAGUACUUUCUGGAGCCGUCUGAACCCCAUUCCUGUUCUCUGCCACCCUGUUAAUUGCAGAAGCAGCUACUCCUGCAUCAGAUUUGCUUUUCCUGCCUCUUAAGAUGUUGACAGCUUCAUGUAGGAAAAAGCAAAUAUGCUGUGUCUGCUGUCACUUAGUCAAGCAAUUAUAACGUAUUUUUUUCUUUGAAGACUUUUUAUACCUAAAGGGUUAUGUAUUCUUUACAAGGAGUACAUUUUAGGCAAAUUAUACUUAAAAUGCUGUUUGCAUCUUUUCCCCUUCAGAAUUGAAACAGUCAUAUCUGAGAAUGAGUUCAGCUAGCCCUUUCUGAGCAGGAGUGCAAGCUGCACCCUUCAGGGGUGGGGGGGUGGGGCUCCCCGUGGCACUGGGCCUGGCCAGAGUCCCAUCUCCCUGGGGCCCGAGUGGUCCCCUAGGGCCUGUGCCCUGGUGCUGAGGUGCACACCCCCAGAAACCCUGAGAGAAGACAGAGGCUGGCCCCUGCCCUUCCCAGUUGCCCUGAGUCAUGCCGAAAAUGUUUCAGAAAAAAAUUUUUGACAACGAAUCCCCAUCCAGAUCCACAAAGAACUUCUGGAGGUCCAGGUGUUGGUUGACACAGAAAAAAUGCACAACCUAAAAGUUAAGAGUUAAGUUUUAUUUGGGGCAAAAUGAGGACUUAAGAUCGGGGGGCAUCUCAAGUAACCCCGAGAAAAACCGUUUGGAGCAGGCAAGGGGGGAUGCAGGAUAGAUGGGGGUUUUGCAGCAAAGGGCAGGUCGUGGGGAGAAAAGAUUACUGCCCAAAGCAGAAAACCAGAGAUCUCAAGGGAAGGAAUGUAGUCUUUUCUAUGGGAAGGCGCAGGGGUCUGGGCUCCCUGAGAUCACCCCCAGUUAUCCGGGGCCGGGGCUGGGGGCUGGCGGCUGGCGGCUGCUGGUUGGCAGGUGAGCUUUGUUCCUUCCCGCCGACCGCCACGUGCACAUCUUACAGGUUCGCUGCUGGUUUCGCGAAGGUCAGACGACUCGAGAGGAGCAGACAUCAUCACUGUGAAGGGUUUCCGUGUUUUUCUAGAAGUGAGGAGGUGCAAGAAUGGGCCUUAUCAAGUCUUUUCCUGAAAAGAGCCAACUCGUUUUCCCGGAGCACAGAGGAGCUCCCCCCUGACUCCGUGGGGGGCGGCAGCUGCGGGGCUCGGGUUCUGUCUGCGUGCAGGCAGGUGGCCGGUGCCGUCGCCAGUCCACCCAGGUGUCCGCGUGAGAUCCCGCUUUGAGUCCCUUCCUGGCUGACCAGGUACUUCGUGACUCAGCGCCUUGCUGCGUUUAUUACGUGGUGCCCGUCUAGGAUCGAAAGUUUCCACGAUGUCAGGAAAAUAGAGCCCUGGUUCCAGCUGGUUCCCCUUGUCUGGUGCUCGUUUAUAAAACAGAACCCAAAAGUGUACGUCGUGACGUGUUUCACUCAAUGCGAAAGGCCUCUCAAAAGUCUUUUCAGAAUUAUUUUUGAGACGAAUAUGGAUUUUUUAAAAAAACCAAUAUCUUAAUUAUUUUAAACAAAUUCUUGCCUGCUCCCCAAAUCCCUGAUCCUUUUCCCUCGGUGUUUUGGGGGGGCAUAAUUUCCCCCCACUCCUCACGAGUUCUUUAGGUUGGCCUAAUAAUUACAUUGAAACAAGACGGAUUCACAGGAGGGAAAAAAGCAGUUUAAUUCAUAUGCAGGAAGGUCUCGUAGAAAUGGGACCCAAAGCGACCAAAGCAGACUGUUUAUGUAUCAUUUUUAGACAAAGAAACACUUACUUGUGAGGGGCUUGAGCUUGGGGUAGCCGACUAAUGGGGAAGUGGUGCAGGUUGUUUAUACGGCUUUCCUGGCCUCGAAGCCUCCCAGGAUCCGGUGACAAGGGUGCUUUCUGUCCUCCUGGAGCAACGGAGAAGGUCAUCGCAUGGACCGGGAAAUGUCCUACUUGUCCCCACGUUGUGGGGGACAGAGAAGAGUCAGUCACCGCAGUUUCUCAAGGACUGAUUCAAAAUAACAUGCUUUCGAGGUGUAUUUUGGGGCGGCCUGCUCCGGGCCUCACAUACAUGGUAUUAUUAAAGACUAAUAUCUAGAAAUGCAUAUUUUCAUGUUAAAAAUGACUACAAAAUGGAUCUGUCUGUUGAAGUCAAAGGAAAUUUGUAAUCAGUUAGUAAGCUGGUUGGCUGUUAGAAUCAUUUAUUUUUUCCUAGGGUAGCUAACCUAUCAUUCUAACGACCAAAUAAGAGGUCUCUUCAGAAGGGUGUUUCGACAGAGUCUUUCUAGCCAGAAUUUGGACCUUAUGAUUAUAAGGUAUUUCACAAAUCGAUUUUGGACAAUUUUGGUGUGAAGUUUUUUUUUUUUUUACUAAAACUGUCACAUUGAUGGAAAAUCAAUAUAAAUUAACGUCAAGAAAACAUCUCACAGUACGAGUGAAGUCACUUUGUCACCCUCUUAAAACUCCCACGGAACAUUUGUAUGUCACGGAAUGAGAGUCAAGGGUGUACAGGUGGCUGCAGGCCUGGGUCGGCACAGCGGAAGGUGAGGCUGAAAGAUGGGUCACUUCUGAUCUUCCUGCCUUCUUGGCAUUGCGGCCGUGUUGCUUCUGCUCCAAGCCCUUCUCUGGAGUCAUCUUACUGCCUGAGUUGUAAACACCCUGGCAGAAGCUCUCCUCUCAGGGCUUUUAUAAUGGCAGCAGUUUUCAAACCACGCUCACCAGGGAGUGGACCUCGCCACGACAAUAACACAAACAAGAGAGAAACCCAAGGUAUUUGGAACAAAUUUGUCAGGUGAAAUUCUCCACCAGACUUGCUCAUACUCGCAUCCCAGCUCAGGCUGGGGAACACUUGGUCUUGAACUUGCUUGCGCCCCACCACUCCCCAGGCAACUUGGGUCCCCCAGUGGGGAUGCUGUGGUGAGGACCAGCACGAGAGCACCCCUGAGGCCUUGCUGGCAAGCUCCGAGUCACACCAUGUACUCUAGGCUUGGAACACUUUCUUUUUUGUCAAUUGGUUUGUAAAUAGGAUUGCACAAAAAUCCAUGCAAAUCACCUCUCCGACUCAGAAUCUGCUGAGCUCAGAAGACCGUUGACUCAGAGGGGCUGGCUUUCAGUGGCAGGAGUGUGACAGAGCAGCUCUGCAUGGUGAUGCUUUAAAAAAGACAUGCAAGCUCGGUGCAUGAUAACUUCCAAUAAACCAGAAACGUCUAAGGCUGCCCACCUUCACCCGUUAUCCUUGUCCAUUUGCCCAGCCUGGCACUUACCUAUUAGGAACUGGUUAUGGGGGGGGGAGGCAUUUGCUAUUCGAACAUCGCAUUUAAGGUUCUGCUGCUGUUUCUUCUGACAUGCUAUUAGCUGCGUUUCAUCAGCUUGAAAUGUACUAAAAUCCAAACGUACUUUAUUAGUUUCUCAGGUGGCAUACCUAGGUAAAAUUCUAAAUUGAAAUACGAUUUUCAACCUAAUUGAAUACAUAAAAGAAAUGGUAACAAAUUUUAAAUGUCCUUAAAACUUCAGGAAGACGUGUUAAGCUCCUUCAGUCGAAGGGGCACUGCAAGACCAAGACUCGGGAUCCCAGGAAAAGCUGCCUGCCUCGGUCAGAGAGUCCCAUUAACCGCUGUGCUCAUUCACUUGGGUGAUGAAAAUUUUCAGAACGUUAUGUGGCCUGGACUUAGGAACACAAUUAAUGUCUCCUUUUUAUUUCUAUCAUCCCGCUCACCUGUUUUCACAGACAGCCGCCCAAACCAGCCGAGCACACACGUGCGCACACAGACACACAUGCACAGACAGGCACAACCCUUCACCUUCGUCCGUUUUUCAGCGCUCGUCUCCACAGAUCGGUGCACUGCCUGACCCAUGCUGCUUCCAGACUCUGCUGGAAAUAGCUUCACAUGUGCAACCUCCUGCCCAUUUGCCUCUGGGAGCUGUUAGGUAUGCGUGCGCUGCCCCCCCUUCUGGAAGGAACACCCACCGAGCUCUGGACACCCUUCACUUGCUCCAGACCUUUGUAACGCCCGCCCGUCGCUGGCGCUGCCUUGUAGGGUGUCAGAAAAUAGAUGAGCAGUAAAAACAGCGGGUUGGGCAAACGGAUGGCCAAAGACUGGACCCCCUGCCCCGCUGUGUUUCAAACUGAGUUCGCUCCCAUCGUAGGGCAUAGAAAGCAGGAUGAAAAUUGGACAGAAAUGCAUGGUAGUGCCUCUGUGUCAGCACAGUGUCGAACAGACGCCCGCGUGGUCGGUGCUGCGUGGUGCUCAGUCGCUCAGUGUCUGAGAUCAGGAUCAGGUGUCAGGAUCAGGACAGAUUGUGACAGGAUAUUACGCUCAGUGAUUCCAAGGAAAGUAUUUGGAUCAAAUCUUCUUUCUUUGUAAACCUGGGUGGAAAUGGGCUUUCCUGUUCUGUGCCAGAUGUGGUCUUUUUAGAAACACAUCAGUGCGACUAGCAUAGGGCCACACAGACAGUCCUUGACCACCCUUGACUAAACUGUCAACAUAAAAAAUCACAUUGAGUCUGUGAAAUUAUUUCCACGGAUGGAUAGAAUAGUAAAUAAAUAUUUU
rnacentral:lncRNA from 1 species